AAUGUGACUUNUCUGUCCCAAAUUUCUUGUCUUAGAUUUGUCUAGAUACGGAUGUAUCUAAUACUAAAAUGUGACUUGAUACAUCUGUAUCUAGACAAAUCUAAGACAAGAAUUUUGGGACGGAGAGAGUACUUU
rnacentral:pre_miRNA from 1 species